GUCCAUGCUGUAAACGUUGAACACUCGAUGUGUGCGAUAUACAGUACGCGUCUAAGCGAAAGCGUUAAGUGUUCCACCUGGGGAGUACGGCCGCAAGGUUGAAACUCAAAGGAAUUGACGGGGGCCCGCACAAGCGGAGGAGCAUGUUGUUUAAUUCGAUGAUACGCGAGGAACCUUACCUGGGCUUGAAUGUGAGUGACCGGUGCCGAAAGGUACCUUCCCUUCGGGGCACAAAACAAGGUGCUGCAUGGCUGUCGU
rnacentral:rRNA from 1 species